UAGGGAAUCUUCCACAAUGGACGCAAGUCUGAUGGAGCAACGCCGCGUGAGUGAAGAAGGUUUUCGGACCGUAAAGCUCUGUUGUUGGUGAAGAAGGAUAGAGGUAGUAACUGGCCUUUAUUUGACGGUAAUCAACCAGAAAGUCACGGCUAACUACGUGCCAGCAGCCGCGGUAAUACGUAGGUGGCAAGCGUUGUCCGGAUUUAUUGGGCGUAAAGCGAGCGCAGGCGAAAGAAUAAGUCUGAUGUGAAAGCCCUCGGCUUAACCGAGGAAUUGCAUCGGAAACUGUUUUCUUGAGUGCAGAAGAGGAGAGUAGAACUCCAUGUGUAGCGGUGGAAUGCGUAGAUAUAUGGAAGAAUACCAGUGGCGAAGGCGGCUCUCUGGUCUGCAACUGACGCUGAGGCUCGAAAGCAUGGGUAGCGAACAGGAUUAGAUACCCUGGUAGUCCAUGCCGUAAACGAUGAGUGCUAAGUGUUGGGAGGCUUCCGCCUCUCAGUGCUGCAGCUAACGCAUUAAGCACUCCGCCUGGGGGAGUACGACCGCAAGGUUGAAAC
rnacentral:rRNA from 1 species